rnacentral:rRNA from 1 species
CCUACGGGAGGCAGCAGUGGGGAAUAUUGCACAAUGGGCGCAAGCCUGAUGCAGCGACGCCGCGUGAGGGAUGACGGCCUUCGGGUUGUAAACCUCUUUCAGUAGGGAAGAAGCGAAAGUGACGGUACCUGCAGAAGAAGCGCCGGCUAACUACGUGCCAGCAGCCGCGGUAAUACGUAGGGCGCAAGCGUUAUCCGGAAUUAUUGGGCGUAAAGAGCUCGUAGGCGGUUUGUCGCGUCUGCCGUGAAAGUCCGGGGCUCAACUCCGGAUCUGCGGUGGGUACGGGCAGACUAGAGUGAUGUAGGGGAGACUGGAAUUCCUGGUGUAGCGGUGAAAUGCGCAGAUAUCAGGAGGAACACCGAUGGCGAAGGCAGGUCUCUGGGCAUUAACUGACGCUGAGGAGCGAAAGCAUGGGGAGCGAACAGGAUUAGAUACCCUGGUAGUCCAUGCCGUAAACGUUGGGCACUAGGUGUGGGGGACAUUCCACGUUUUCCGCGCCGUAGCUAACGCAUUAAGUGCCCCGCCUGGGGAGUACGGCCGCAAGGCAAAACUUAAGGAAUUGACGG